ensembl:snoRNA
GUUCGUGAUGACUGACCAUUUCUUCACUUUGACCUGAUAUCUGCUGAAGAAAUCCAGUGUCUGAGA